rnacentral:rRNA from 1 species
UACGGGGGGGGCAAGCGUUGUUCGGAAUUACUGGGCGUAAAGGGCUCGUAGGUGGCCAACUAAGUCGGACGUGAAAUCCCUCAGCUUAACUGGGGAACUGCGUCCGAUACUGGAUGGCUUGAGUUUGGGAGAGGGAUGCGGAAUUCCAGGUGUAGCGGUGAAAUGCGUAGAUAUCAGGAGGAACACCUGCGGUGUAGACGGCUUUCUGGACCAUUACUGACACUGAGACACGAAAGCGUGGGUAGCAAACAGG